UCAGGACGAACGCUGGCGGCGUGCCUAAUACAUGCAAGUCGAGCGGACUGAUGGGAGCUUGCUCCCUGAUGUUAGCGGCGGACGGGUGAGUAACACGUGGGCAACCUGCCCUAUAGCUUGGGAUAACUCCGGGAAACCGGGGCUAAUACCGAAUAAUACAAUUUAGCUCCUGCUAGAUUGUUGAAAGAUGGUUUCGGCUAUCGCUAUAGGAUGGGCCCGCGGCGCAUUAGCUAGUUGGUAAGGUAACGGCUUACCAAGGCGACGAUGCGUAGCCGACCUGAGAGGGUGAUCGGCCACACUGGGACUGAGACACGGCCCAGACUCCUACGGGAGGCAGCAGUAGGGAAUCUUCCACAAUGGACGAAAGUCUGAUGGAGCAACGCCCGCGUGAGUGAAGAAGGUUUUCGGAUCGUAAAACUCUGUUGUAAGGGAAGAACAAGUACAGUAGUAACUGGCUGUACCUUGACGGUACCUUAUUAGAAAGCCACGGCUAACUACGUGCCAGCCGCUGC
rnacentral:rRNA from 1 species